CGGCGGACGGGUGAGUAACGCGUGGGUAACCUGCCUCAUACAGGGGGAUAACAGUUGGAAACGACUGCUAAUACCGCAUAAGCGCACAGUACCGCAUGGUACAGUGUGAAAAACUCCGGUGGUAUGAGAUGGACCCGCGUCUGAUUAGCUAGUUGGUGGGGUAACGGCCUACCAAGGCGACGAUCAGUAGCCGACCUGAGAGGGUGAUCGGCCACAUUGGGACUGAGACACGGCCCAA
rnacentral:rRNA from 1 species